rnacentral:rRNA from 1 species
UUAGGAAUUUUGCGCAAUGGGGGAAACCCUGACGCAGCAACGCCGCGUGAGUGAAGAAGGCCUUAGGGUUGUAAAGCUCUUUCAGCAGGGAAGACAAAAAUGACGGUACCUGCAGAAGAAGCACCGGCUAACUCCGUGCCAGCAGCCGCGGUAAUACGGAGGGUGCAAGCGUUAUUCGGAUUGACUGGGCGUAAAGCGCACGUAGGCGGUUCGCUAAGUCUGAUGUGAAAUCCCUGGACUCAAUCCAGGAAGUGCAUUGGAUACUGGUGAACUAGAGUACAGGAGAGGAGAGCGGAAUUCCAGGUGUAGAGGUGAAAUUCGUAGAUAUCUGGAGGAACAACAGAGGCGAAGGCGGCUCUCUGGACUGUAACUGACGCUAAGGUGCGAAAGCGUGGGGAGC